UUAUCUGACGAAGAGAUCUGGCAGGAGAUUAGCUCGGCUAACCCGAAUGCUGCUUCCGGCCCAGAUAGUUUUUCUAUCCCCUUCUUUAAAAAAUUCUGGCCACAGUUGCGGCCUCUCAUUUGUACGAUUAUCCAAGGGUUCUGGUUGGGUACGGUGGAUAUCUCUCACCUUAAUUACGCUGUCAUUAACCUUAUUCCUAAAGUCAAGGGCGCGGACUUGAUCUCGCAAUUUAGGCCGAUUGCCCUUAUUAAUAACUUCGCCAAGUUUCCGGCUAAAGGGUUAGCCACUCGCCUCUCCCCCAUUGCCCACCGUACCAUUAGACCUUUUCAGUCGGCUUUCAUUAAAGGUCGUUUCAUUCUGGACAGGGUUCUUUGCUUGCAUGAAAUUGUUCAUGACCUUAAGAUUCGCAAGUCGAAAGCGGUGAUUCUAAAAUUAGACUUUGAGAAGGCCUAUGACUCGGUGAGUUGGCCUUUUUUACGUAGAGUUUUAUUGGCCAAAGGGUUUGAGGGGCCCCUGGUCCAC
rnacentral:rRNA from 1 species